rnacentral:rRNA from 1 species
UACGAAGGGGGCGAGCGUUGUUCGGAAUUACUGGGCGUAAAGGGCGCGCAGGCGGCUCAGACAGUCAGAUGUGAAAGCCCCGGGCUUAACCUGGGAACUGCAUUUGAUACUACUGAGCUUGAGUACGGGAGAGGAUAGUGGAAUUCCCAGUGUAGAGGUGAAAUUCGUAGAUAUUGGGAAGAACACCGGUGGCGAAGGCGGCUAUCUGGACCGUAACUGACGCUGAGCGCGAAAGCGUGGGGAGCAAACAGG